rfam:Stentor coeruleus isolate WM001 SteCoe_contig_880, whole genome shotgun sequence.
GCAUACAUGGCCGAGUGGUCUAAGGCGAUAGACUCAAGAUCUACUGGAAGCAAUUCCGCGUGAGUUCAAAUCUCACUGUAUGCA